rnacentral:sRNA from 1 species
GAAAGUUAAUUUAAGUGCAGGCAAACUUGUUAAGCAAAGAAAAUCCGCACUUUUAACCGAAGGCCUUCAAGAGAUAUGAUAUCAUAACUAUUCCCGUUACUCGUAUGAUUCGCUUAAUACGAAUCUGUAUACUCUAUAAAGUAUAUAUAUUCUGGAUCAGAAACAUUAGCCGAGUCGACCUGGUCAUGUGCCCGUCUGUCCAACCCGAAGGGAAUAAUACUGUCUCGGAUAUUUUGGUUGCCACGCUUUAACAAUUUAUAAUGGCCCACAGCUUUAACUUAGCGUCGCUUUUAUUGGCCAUUUGGAAAUUCGCUUUGCGGCCUGGCCUGUGGUUCGAAUUCCAUUUCUGUUUAGCCCAAAAAUGUUAUCCUUUGUGCGUUCGUUGAGUUGAGUUCGUAUGACCGAAUAUUAUUUUGCCCACCUGCGAAUUCGCAUAAGCAUUGUUUCUCCAGCAUGGUUGAAUGCAUUUUGUAAUGCCUGGCUCGGUUCUAAUUAAAUGCUAACUCAAAGACAA